GGAGCCUGUUGUUGCAGCAGACGAUGACAGGGAUGAUCACUACAUUUGUCUGAUGUGAGAUCGAGUGUAGUCCAGGGUUGUAACUUUUUGACAGGUCAUUUUAUAUGUAUAUAUGUAGAUAUCACACUCGAUAACAUUUUAUAUAUGUAUUAUCACAAUCAUGUAAUGUAUACAGUAUGGUUUUCUAUAUAAAUAUGAAAGUGUGUUUUUGCGGAUUUGUGUUAAUUGCUAGUUAAUAAAUGGAUGGAUUCAACACCAGACUUCCACGGAUUUUUGUUAUGAUUAAUAGAGUAGAAAUGACAACUUGCCCAUGGUGUUGAUGUUAAUGCCUCGAGAUUUGAUUCAGGUCUUAUUGGGAUAUGGGUCGGAUUUUGGGGCGUUAAAGAUUGGUAUCAGAGCGCCAGUAGUAGAUCCGUCUGGGAUCUGUUGGAAGGAUGUUUUGGUGCUACUUUAUUUAAGACACGGCAGGUUUAGCAUAACUGAUAUCUCUUUAUUUUAUAAAGGAUGUUACUUUAAUAGAAAAGUUAAAAAAUUUAGUAAUGAGGUUAAAGUGUUAAAUCUUAAAUGGGGAUGGGUAGAGUUCUUAGUUAACAAAUAUAGUAAUCAUCUAGUAAACUUUGGGGCGACACAGGGUAAAUAUAGAAAUGGAAUAAAAUACACUAGACAAGCAAGGCACUCCAAGCCGUCCCUAGGAACACCGACAUGCUGCCGAAAUGCUGACGAAAUUUAAAAUACACUUAUAACUUAAAAAUAUGUAUGUUUGAUACCUUAUGUGAGACCGGCGAUUUAUGGAUCAUCUACUUGUAUGGUGUCACUCUGACGAAAUUAUGUUGUUACUCUGCCGAAAUUCGUAUUGUUGUGAAAUGAACCAAUUCUCAGCUAAAUUGUGAUCUCUGACAUAAUGCAGAAGGGUUACUAUGGAAUCUACUAGAGAUGUUAAUAGUUCCGAGACUAUAGGUCAGGGUUCUACUGAUCCGAUGCAAAAGAUGUUAGAUUUAAUGAUGGAUAUGACUCAGAAACAUAAUGAUCUCAGAGAUGAAAUUUCAGAAUUGAGGGCUAGGCAGAACCAAGGUCAAACACUUCCACCUCCGCCAGUUAUUCAACCUGCUAUAGUACCUGAGAUUGGACAACUUGUUUUGCAGAAUGUAGUUCAGCCGCCAGUUGUUGUCCAUCCAAUUGUACAGGGUCGAGGAGGGUCCAUACUGACAGACUUUGCUAGACUGAAUCCACCUAUAUUUGAGGGCCCUUCGAGUUCUUCAACACCCGAGGAAUGGUUGUUAGACAUUUCCUGCAUGCUAGACUCCUUUAUGUGUACUGAUGUUGAGCGUGUCAACCUAGCAGUCUUUAUGCUUAGAGGCCACGCUAAGCAUUGGUGGAUUAGUGUUAAAUAUAUUGAAGUGCAGCCUAUAACUUGGGCAAGGUUUGAAGAGGUUUUCCUAGAGAAAUAUGUCAGUGAAGCUGAUCGACAAAGAAAACAUCUAGAGUUCUUAAAGUUAGAGCAAUGCAAUAUAACAGUGAGUCAGUAUGAAGAAAAGUUUACUGUUUUGUCACGAUAUGGGAAAGAGAUGAUCUCAACUGAGAAAGCUAAAGCGACCAAGUUUAUUUAUGGGUUGAAGCCAUUUAUGCAAGAUAAGAUGUCAGUUCUGACUAUUGAUAAUUAUGCUGAAGCUGUAAGGAUGGCUCAAGGAAUCGAACGGGUUGAUGAGCAAUUACAGGUGAACCGACAUCCAUCUGAUAAAAGAUCACUACCGUUACAAGGUCAAGGUGAUACAACCAAGAGGCAGUUUUAUCAGCUUAGCAAUUUAGGGAAUCAGAGAUUUUAUAGGCCGACUGGUCAGUAUGUUCAGUAUGUGAAGCCAGUGACUGUACAGUGAAGCUUUAAUGUGGUUAGGCCAGCACAACAAGUUGUGAGACCAGCGAGCAAACCACAGAUGAAACCAGCAGGGCAGACUUCUAGGCCACAGGGUCAAAUGAUAGCAGUUCAACCGAUAAGGAAAUGUUUCACAUGUGGUGAUCCAGGGCACUUUAGGAAGAAUUGUCCAAAGUAUAAUUCGAUGAUUGCUGAGCAGAAAUCACAGGGUAAAGUGUAUUGUAUGGUGCCAGAAGAAGAAAUUGUGGAAUACUAUCCAGACCAGGAAGAAGGCAUAGUAUAUGCUGUGUUAGAUGAAGAUAAAGAUGCAUCUCACAAAGUUGUUGAAGGUAUGGUUCCUUUAUUUACCCAUUCUGUGCAUGUGUUGUUUGAUCCUGGUGCUACUCAUUCAUUUAUUGCUAGAAGUAUUGCUAAUUCUCUAGAUAUACCCAUGAGAGACACUGGGAAACAACUUGUGUUAUCAACACCAGUUGCUAGAAAAACCUUACGGUAUGAGACUUGUCCACCUUGUCGAGUCUCCAUAGAUAAAUAUGAGAUGUGGGUAAAUUUCACGGUUAUGGAUAGCUUGAAGGACUUCGAUGUUAUACUUGGGAUGGAUUGGUUAGCCAAAUAUCAUGCUAUGCUAGACUGUUUUUCUAAAACAGUUAUCUUUAGAAUCCCAGGACAUGCGGAGUUUAUUUUUAAAGGGACGAAAAAAUCUUCUUUUCGACUUUAUAAGAUCCGAGAUAUUUUGAAAGACAUUGAAUGUGGCUUGUUAGCCAAUGUUGAUAUGAUCAAUAAAGAGUUGCCAUCUCUUGAGCAUCUCCCGAUAGUUCGUGAGUUUCAAGCUGUGUUUCCAGAUAAAUUGCCAGGGUUACCUCCCCGGCGAGAAAUAGCUUUUGUGAUAGAAUUGAUCCCUGGAACUUCUCCUAUUUCGGUAAACCCUUAUCGAAUGGCUCCAAUAGAAAUGAGAGAACUAAAGUCCCAAUUAGAUGAGUUGAAAGAGUUGGGAUUUAUACGUGAGAGUCACUCACCUUGGGGGGCUCCAAUUUUGUUUGUGAAGAAGAAGGAUGGUUCUUUUAGACUUUGUAUUGAUUAUCGCAAGUUAAACAAUGCGACUAUCAAGAAUAAGUAUCCAUUGCCUAGAAUUAAUGACCUAUUCGAUCAGUUGAGGGAUGCCAAAUAUUUGUCGAAGAUUGAUCUCAGAUCUGGUUACCAUCAGUUGAGAAUUAAGGAGGCGGAUAUUGAGAAGACAGCUUUCCGAACACGGUUGGGUCAUUUUGAGUUCCUUGUGAUGCCAUUUGGGUUGACAAAUGCUCCUGCUGCAUUUAUGGAUCUUAUGCAUCGAGUGUUUUGGAAGUACUUAGAUCAGUUUAUUAUUGUAUUCAUUGAUGAUAUAUUGGUCUAUUCCAAUACUCGAGAGGCACAUGAAGAUCAUUUGCGAAUUACCCUCCAGACAUUGCUUGAGCGUCAGUUAUAUGCCAAGUUCAGUAAAUGUGAGUUCUGGUUGAGUGAAGUUAAAUUUCUGGGGCAUGUUGUAUCGCAGGAUGGGAUAUCAGUUGAUCUUUCAAAGAUUGAGGCAGUGAAGAAUUGGCAACGACCGCAAAAUGUGACAGAAAUCAGAAGUUUCUUGGGUCUGGCCGGUUAUUAUCGUCGAUUUGUUAAAGGAUUUUCGAGUUUAGCUUCGUCUUUGACCAGGUUGACACAGAAAGAUGUGAAGUAUGAAUGGUCUGAUAAAUGUGAGUCUGCAUUUCAAGAGCUAAAGACUCGGCUAACUACUGCACCGAUCUUGACAGUUCCCGAUCCUGACAAAGAUUAUGUUGUUUACACUGAUACUUCGAUGAUAGGAUUGGGUUGUGUACUGAUGCAAGAUGGCAAAGUUAUUGCUUAUGCGUCCAGGCAAUUGGGUAAUCAUGAGAAGAAUUAUCCUACUCACGAUUUAGAGUUAGCUGCAGUUGUAUAUGCUUUAAAGAUUUGGAGACAUUACUUGUAUGGGCAGAAAUUUGAUGUUUUCUCUGAUCAUAAGAGUCUCAAGUAUUUGUUCUCGUAGAAAGAUUUGAAUAUGAGGCAAACUAGAUGGGUCGAGUAUCUGAAAGACUACAACCUUUCGUUACAGUAUCAUCCUGGUAAAGCAAAUGCAGUUGCAGAUGCACUUAGUAGGAAACGAGAAUUGAUGUGUGCCCAAAUGCUGAUUAACGAAUGGACAUUGUUAAACUUUGUUACUUCUUAUGUGUUUGAAACUCCUGAAGACGAGGAUUGCCAACUUUGCUACUCUGCUCAGAUGAGGCUUGAGAAUACACUUGUUCGGGAUAUUAUCCAUAGUCAAGGUACUGUAAAGGUUGACAAGAGCGUCAUGAAGUUUGUAGAAGAUACAGAGAACUGUGACUGGAGACGAACAGAAGAUGGCAGUAUUAGAUACAGGGGAAGAUUUUGGGUGCCAGCAGAUAAGAAUUUGAGAGACCGUAUACUAGAAGAAGCGCACCGAUCUAAAUAUACAAUUCAUCCUGGUGGUACCAAAAUGUACAGAGACUUGUGUUGCCAGUUCUGGUGGCCUGGAAUGAAGAAACACAUUGCUCAGUAUGUGAAGAGGUGUGCUACGUGUCAACAAGUAAAAGCUGAACACAAUCGACCUCCAGGUUUACUUUAACCUUUAGAUAUUCCUGAAUGGAAGUGGGAGCACAUCACUAUGGAUUUUAUAACAGGGUUACCGAGAACCAGUGAGGGUAUGAACUCCAUAUGGGUUGUUGUUGAUAGAUUGACAAAGUCUGCUCACUUUAUACCUGUUAAGACUUCAUACUCCACCGAUAAAUUGAGUAAGUUGUAUAUUGAUAAUGUAGUGAAACUGCAUGGAGCACCUAAGUCAAUUGUUUCUGACAGGGGUACUCAGUUCGCUGGUGCGUUUUGGAAGGGUCUCCAGAGAGAGUUUGGUACACAAUUGAACUUCAAUACAGCUUUCCACCCCCAGACUGAUGGUCAGUCAGAGAGAGUUAUCCAGAUAGUAGAAGAUAUGCUUCGAGCUUGCAUUCUUGAUUAUGGUGGGAGUUGGAAGAAACAUCUAUCACUUGCAGAAUUUGCCUACAACAACAGUUACCAGUCCAGCAUAGGUAUGGCACCGUAUGAAGCAUUAUAUGGUAGACCUUGUAGAACACCUUUGUGUUGGGCCGAGACAGGAGACAGUAUAUUGUUGGGGCCGGAUAAAGUUGAGGAAACUACCGCAACUAUCAGAUUGAUAAGGAAUCGUUUGCUUACAGCUCAGAGUCGCCAGAAAAGCUAUGCAGAUCCCCGCAGACGACAUAUAGAAUUUGAGGAAGGUGACCAAGUGUAUCUUAGGGUUUCUCCACGGAAGGGUAUUCAGAGGUUUAGAAUUAAAGGGAAGUUAGCGCCGAGAUAUAUGGGACCAUUUCGAAUUAUACAGAAACUCUCCAAGUUUGCUUAUAGGCUUGAAUUACCAGCUAAGCUGGCAAGGGUCCAUAAUGUUUUACACAUUUCGAUGUUGCGAAAGUAUGUUUCCGAUCCGAAACAUCGCAUUGAUCUUGAGUCUUUAGAGGUAGAAGAAGACAUUUCUUAUGCAGAGGGACCAAUUGAGAUUUUAGAAUGGAAAGAAAAACAACUACGAUCGAAGGCCAUUCCCUUAGUAAAAGUCUUAUGGCGUAAUCACAAUAAAGAAGAGGCAACCUGGGAAACCGAAUCUGAAAUGCGGGAGAAAUAUCCAGAGAUUUUCCCUAAGAAUAGAACAUCUCGAUAGUAAGGUAUGACUUUAAUUUCGAGGACGAAAUUUCUUUUAACGUUUAUAGAAUGUAAGGACCCGUGCACUCUCUAGGGGUAUUUUAGUAAUCUCACCUAUGAUUCUAUGGCUAUGAUCGCAUCAUAGUAAACAUUUUUAUAUAUAGAAAACAUACAGAAAAAUAAAUAAAUAAAUAGACGAUAAAAACUUCAUAACACAUUUUUGAAAAAUUUGGCAAACUUGUCGCAAGAUAUUCGAUGUUUAAUAUAUAGAAACCGCAUUAUAUUUCUAACAUGAACUCAUUACAACUAGGAUCGGGUGCGCAAAAAACGCUUGAAAUGAACCCACAUAUGUUGCUAGAAAGAGUUUUUACAAAUAAGAGUAACUUUGUUAAGUUGCACCUAAUUACACUUAAUCAAUUCUAUUUCUAUUAGAUAAGACUCAAGCUUAGGCUUACACCUCAUGCUAGAAUUAAACAUGAGCUGUAUUAAACCUUUUCUAGUAACUGAGUGUGAAACCACUUGCUGGAGAUUAAGUUAAGGCUUGGGAAAAGAAAGAGAAAUCAGACACCACUACCAUUGAAGUCAAGUGAAGUUAGCUUCUUAGCAACUAGUGGAUAUUGAAAGAGAGUGACCAGUUAGAAAAAAUUCAAUCUGACAGGUUUGUAUUCUUGAACUUGGUAGUAUACUUAUAGAAAUAACAAGCAAUACAAUUAGUAGUUCAAGCUUUAGUUAGUAGCUAGAUGAUUAAUAUGAAUAGGUCCGUAGGAUUUCAAUGAGCUGGAGUGAUUUUCAUGCUUAACUUUAGAAGAGAAAACAAGCAGCAAGUCAUAUAGGUUGUUGGCUACCUUUAAUCUUGUACAAACUAGGAAAGUAUUACUGAAUUUUAAACCUUUCCAUUAGUAAGUGUUGGUUAUAUGAAAUUUAGUACCGACUACAAGCCCGUUAAUAGGUUAUGGACUAAAUGCAUGUAUACCCAAUUAGAAAACCUAUUAGAAACACAAGACACGCACGAAUAGAAAAUAUAUAAUAGUUCCCUUAUAGGAUUAUAAUUAUGUUUCGUUUGCGUUUUAGGUGUUUGACUUUAGUAGUGUUCUUCGGGUUUUAGAGGUGACGCGGGAGCGCGCUGAGGUAGGGACUUGCAUUUCCUUUAUAUUAUCUUCUCAUGGUUCAUGUUUUAAAUGUUAUAAUAUUAUCGAUAUAGUGAUGAUAAAAAUACAUGCAUGAUUUUGGUUGGAAUAUAUAUAGUACUCGCGUUUUUACGAUUGUAGAUUGUGUUAAAAUGAUUAGUUACAGAUAUCAUGUUUUAAACUAGAGUUGUUAAAGUAGUACAGAAUAUUGUUUUAUAAACAGAAAAACAAUUGAAGUUUUUAUCGCAUCUCUUUUCCAAGAUGGGAAAAGGGAGAUGGAUUUUGUAUGUGGGAUGUGGGGUCCCAGUUGUAUGUUGGUAUGGUGUGAGGUCCUUGGUUUGGGAAAAUAUAUGAUCUGGGUGCUUACACGAACAUAUUAUUACAUAUCGGAUUAUAAUCCUUCGGCUAGUGCCCGUGUCUGGUAGCCGUGAAUAGGGAACUGGUUUGAUGGUUGAUAAAUUCAGGGACUCGUCACAUGUGCCAGAUUAAUUAAUUAUCAUUAAAAGACACUCUAUAUAUUUUAUAUAUUAUAUCACGAGGCGGUUUGGCAAGGGAUCUGUGAAUUUCUACAAAGAAGGAAGUGUUGUCAUAUUCUAGAGAUGACAGUUCUUUCUAGGAUUACAUAUACAGUGUUCACCUUUAGAUGGUGAAUGGGCACUUUCUAGAGGCGAACAUUGUAGGAUGUUUCCGGGGAUUCCUUUUCUACCUUCCUGGAUUGCCAUGUUUUAGUGGUAUUUGUUGUGGAUGGUUAGUGUGUUGUGGGGAUACAUGUUACCUCGAGGAGGUUAGACGCAGGGAGUGAGAGGUAGUCCAAUCCUGGACGUGUGUCAGGAUCCUGUGCAGUCUGCAGUCGUCAAACGGUUGACCACCGUGAUAGGUGAUUCUCCCUCUGGAGCGUCGUGGUCAGAGGGCCCACCUGAGCCCUGAAAGAGGGUUAGUGUUCUCGAGACACAAAACGGUAAUCACCCGACCGGAUAAUCAGGAACUAACGGUGCAGGUUCACACCGGUAAGUACUGAACCAAGAAUUUGCCUGGGACUGGGGCUGAGUUUCAGUCGUACCCUCACCACUCUAAUAGGAUACAGGUACCCGAAUUAUUGUAUGAAUGCUUGAAUAUUACUUAGUACUUAUAGUAGAAAAUAUUUGACAUUAUAUUUAUAAUAACUUUACAGUUCUUCUUUAAACUUGCAUAUUUAAACUGUUAGCAUGAUUUAUCAUCAUGGUUGGAUAAGAUUUUGGAAAUGUGGGUUUCUACUGAGCAAGUGGAUUAUGCUCACCCUACCAUUACCCUUUUCAGCUGAGCCUGUUGUUGAGGAGCCUGUUGUUGCAGCAGACGAUGACAGGGAUGAUCACUACAUUUGUCUGAUGUGAUAUCGAGUGUAGUCCAGGGUUGUAACUUUUUGACAGGUCCUUUUAUAUGUAUAUAUGUAGAUAUCACACUAGAUAACAUCUUAUAUAUGUAUUAUCACAAUCAUGUAAUGUAUACAGUAUGGUUUUCUAUAUAAAUAUGAAAGUGUGUUUUUGCGGA
rnacentral:lncRNA from 1 species